UACGUAGGGUGCGAGCGUUAAUCGGAAUUACUGGGCGUAAAGCGUGCGUAGGCGGUUCCUCAAGUCCGUUGUGAAAGCCCCGGGCUCAACCUGGGAAUGGCAGUGGAAACUAGGGGACUGGAAUCUGGCAGAGGGGGGUGGAAUGCCGCGUGUAGCAGUGAAAUGCGUAGAGAUGCGGCGGAACACCGAUGGCGAAGGCAGCCCCCUGGGCUGAGAUUGACGCUCAGGCACGAAAGCGUGGGGAGCGAACAGG
rnacentral:rRNA from 1 species